UACGUAGGGCGCAAGCGUUGUCCGGAAUUAUUGGGCGUAAAGAGCUCGUAGGCGGCUUGUCACGUCGGUUGUGAAAGCCCGGGGCUUAACCCCGGGUCUGCAGUCGAUACGGGCAGGCUAGAGUUCGGUAGGGGAGAUCGGAAUUCCUGGUGUAGCGGUGGAAAUGACGCAGAUAUCAGGAGGAACACCGGUGGCGAAGGCGGAUCUCUGGGCCGAUACUGACGCUGAGGAGCGAAAGCGUGGGGAGCAAACAGG
rnacentral:rRNA from 1 species